ensembl:snoRNA
ACGCAAGCUGAUUCCCUCUCCAGGGGGCCUGCUCAUGUCCCUCUUCAGGAAAGUUACAACCUGGAAGAAAAUCUGGCAUGUUUGCGGUUGCUGGUGGAGAGAGCAUUUCUGUUUCCCUUGUUUUCCUUUGGCUGUGUACACUC